rnacentral:rRNA from 1 species
UAGGGAAUCUUCGGCAAUGGGGGGAACCCUGACCGAGCAACGCCGCGUGAGUGAAGAAGGUUUUCGGAUCGUAAAGCUCUGUUGUUAAGGAAGAACGAGUGUGAGAAUGGAAAGUUCAUACUGUGACGGUACUUAACCAGAAAGGGACGGCUAACUACGUGCCAGCAGCCGCGGUAAUACGUAGGUCCCGAGCGUUGUCCGGAUUUAUUGGGCGUAAAGCGAGCGCAGGCGGUUAGAUAAGUCUGAAGUUAAAGGCAGUGGCUCAACCAUUGUAGGCUUUGGAAACUGUUUAACUUGAGUGCAGAAAGGGAGAGUGGAAUUCCAUGUGUAGCGGUGAAAUGCGUAGAUAUAUGGAGGAACACCGGUGGCGAAAGCGGCUCUCUGGUCUGUAACUGACGCUGAGGCUCGAAAGCGUGGGGAGCGAACAGGAUUAGAUACCCUGGUAGUCCACGCCGUAAACGAUGAGUGCUAGGUGUUAGACCCUUUCCGGGGUUUAGUGCCGUAGCUAACGCAUUAAGCACUCCGCCUGGGGAGUACGACCGCAAGGUUG